GAUGAACGCUAGCUACAGGCUUAACACAUGCAAGUCGAGGGGCAGCAUGAUCGAAGCUUGCUUUGAUUGAUGGCGACCGGCGCACGGGUGAGUAACGCGUAUCCAACCUUCCCCAUAGUAGAGAAUAGCCCGGCGAAAGUCGGAUUAAUACUCUAUGUUCUCCUUAGCAGGCAUCUAACGAGGAGCAAAGAUUCGUCGGUAAGGGAUGGGGAUGCGUCUGAUUAGCUUGCCGGCGGGGUAACGGCCCACCGGGGCAACGAUCAGUAGGGGUUCUGAGAGGAAGGUCCCCCACACUGGAACUGAGACACGGUCCAGACUCC
rnacentral:rRNA from 1 species